UGGGGAAUAUUGCACAAUGGGCGCAAGCCUGAUGCAGCCAUGCCGCGUGUAUGAAGAAGGCCUUCGGGUUGUAAAGUACUUUCAGCGGGGAGGAAGGUGUUGUGGUUAAUAACCACAGCAAUUGACGUUACCCGCAGAAGAAGCACCGGCUAACUCCGUGCCAGCAGCCGCGGUAAUACGGAGGGGGCAAGCGUUAAUCGGAAUUACUGGGCGUAAAGCGCACGCAGGCGGUCUGUCAAGUCGGAUGUGAAAUCCCCGGGCUCAACCUGGGAACUGCAUUCGAAACUGGCAGGCUAGAGUCUUGUAGAGGGGGGUAGAAUUCCAGGUGUAGCGGUGAAAUGCGUAGAGAUCUGGAGGAAUACCGGUGGCGAAGGCGGCCCCCUGGACAAAGACUGACGCUCAGGUGCGAAAGCGUGGGGAGCAAACA
rnacentral:rRNA from 1 species